AGAACGAACGCUGGCGGCAGGCUUAACACAUGCAAGUCGAACGGGUGUAGCAAUACAUCAGUGGCAGACGGGUGAGUAACACGUGGGGACCUUCCUAGGGGUACGGAACAACUCAGGGAAACUUGAGCUAAUACCGUAUACGUCCGUAAGGAGAAAGAUUCAUCGCCCCUAGACGGGCCCGCGUCGGAUUAGGUAGUUGGUGGGGUAACGGCCUACCAAGCCUACGAUCCGUAGCUGAUCUGAGAGGAUGAUCAGCCACACUGGGACUGAGACACGGCCCAGACUCCUACGGGAGGCAGCAGUGGGGAAUCUUGGACAAGUGGGCGCAAGCCUGAUCCAGCCAUGACCGCGUGAGUGAAGAAGGCUUUAAGGGUUGUAAAGCUACGUUUUACCAGGGUACGAAUAAGUGACGGUACCUGGAAGAAGUAACGACCCGGACCAAACUUCGUAGACCACGACAACGACCGACGGUAAAUCCGUUAGGACGGCGGGACGU
rnacentral:rRNA from 1 species